ensembl:miRNA
GAGGUGGGAGAAUUGCUUGAACUGGAAGGUUGAGGCUGCAGUGAGCUGUGAUCAUACCACUGCACUCCAGCCUGGGUAACAGGGUAAGACCUUGUCUCA